rnacentral:lncRNA from 1 species
CCACCGCGCCCUGCCACUGCUCCCCUCUUCUACUGAUAAAACAGGAGUUAAAGUUCCUCGUAAUUUUCGCUUGUUGGAAGAACUUGAAGAAGGACAAAAAGGAGUAGGCGACGGUACAGUUAGCUGGGGCCUUGAAGAUGAUGAAGAUAUGACACUUACAAGGUGGACAGGCAUGAUUAUUGGGCCACCAAGGACAAAUUAUGAAAACAGAAUAUAUAGCCUGAAAGUAGAAUGUGGACCUAAAUACCCAGAAGCUCCUCCGUCAGUUAGAUUUGUAACAAAAAUUAAUAUGAACGGAAUAAAUAACUCGAGUGGGAUGGUGGAUGCCCGGAGCAUACCAGUGUUAGCAAAAUGGCAAAAUUCAUAUAGCAUUAAAGUUGUACUUCAAGAGCUAAGACGUCUAAUGAUGUCCAAAGAAAAUAUGAAGCUUCCACAGCCACCAGAAGGACAAACAUACAACAAUUAAUUUUAGUGGAUCUCAAACUUGUCUUAAAUCAACAACCUUCUACUCAUGUUAAUGUCUUGAUUAAAUAUCACAAUGCAAAAUACACAUUAAGUAAAAGAAUUCCAGCUGGUAAACAUGACCUGGACAUUUGUAAGAAUAUAUUUAAUAUAUGUACACCCAUUAUGUUUUCAGGUAACAGGAGGAAAAAUGCAGCACAAUUUUUUUUCUCUUGAAAGGCACUGUCAUUUAAACAUAAACCUGGAGUACUCGAAAUAGAAUUCAGGUUUACAAGAUGAAAGCGUGUGGAGAAGUGUCAGAUGGCAGUGGAAGCAUGUGUGUUUCUAAAAAGUAAAAAUCUCAAGAAAACAGAAAUGGCAUGCUUUACCCAUCUUGCUUAGUGAAAGAGAGCUGCAGUUGAAAUUGUUUAAAAAGUAGCAGGUACAACGAAUAUUGUCACAGAUGUGUUAAUUUUUGAAGCAAUGUGGGUGCUGACUACUAGUAGUAUCAAAAAUAUGUUCAGGAUUGUUUUGAUACCUGUAUUUAUAAUAAAAAAUGUUGGGGGGAGUUGAUGAAUUCCUGUUAAAAGCUGUUCUUGUGUGUUACAUGUAACAGACAUGGUAAAUAUUUGUUUACAGUCUUUGUUUAACAAACCAUGCAUUUAAGUUUAAGUGAAGUCAACAAAAAGGAAAUAGGUGUAUGGAUAUGUGAUUUUGAGAUUAAAGUUAGUCUUAAAAUGUAAAUAAAAUGUGGAACGUGUCCUCAGAGACUGUGCCAUUUCUAUUAUGUUGAUGUAUAUGUACAGUACCUUGCCAGGGAAGCAAAAAUUGGAAUUAUUGUAGCUUUUCAUGUAUACACACUUUUAUUUACCCUAUUUUGUGUACUUCUUGUGAAUUAUAAUUUGCAGACUAUUUCAGAAAAGAAAUUAUCUAGUUUAAUUUCUUCUUUGGACAAGGAGUCCUAGGUAUUAUAUUUUGAGUUUGAUUUCACCAGAAAUAAUAAUAUUAAAAAGAUCUUUGCAUUCUGGCAGUUCUUUUAGGAUUAUAGGUUGCAAAUUAUCCAAAUAUAUAUCCCAUUUUUUAAAGCAUAAUAUCUUUUUUAGUUAUUUUUCUGUGAAGCUUUUGGUUAAUAAAUAGGGUCAACUAAUUGGAGACUUUUCUCUUCCAGUUAGGGCUUUUAAUACUAACAAGGAUAACUUUAUUCAUUCCUCGUAUUCUCUACUCUAACAAAUAUGAACUCUGAAGUUGAAAAUUCAUUUAUGUUCUGCUUUCACCAAAGUGACGCGAGGCUUUAGGUCACUGUUUCACUUCAAAGUACUGGAUCCAAAGCUUUGUUGAAAAUGCUGUUUGAUGAAUUCACUGAAGAAUAUAGAAAGGUGGUCAGGUAAAGUCUACUUUUAUUUUGUCAAGCUUAAUAAUUUGUGUCAUACUUUACCCCGGUAUAUAUAGACAAACCAAAACCUUAUCAAAUAUUAAAUUAGAUGUUUAAACUUUGCUUAUAAAGUAAAGUAUUGGCCAUGUGGUGGCUCACGCCUCUAAUCCCAGCACUUUGGGAGGCUGAGACCAGCCUGGCCAACAUGAUGAAACCCUGUCUCUACUAAAAAUACAAAAAAUUAGCCAGGUGUGGUGGUGGGUACUUGUAGUCCCAGCUACUCGGGAGGCUGGGCAGGAGAACUACUUGAAACUGGCAGACAGAGGUUGCAGUGCCGAGAUCGCACCACUGCUCCAGCCUGGGCAACAGAGCAAGACUCCAUCUCAAAAAAAAAAAAAAAAAAAAGAAAAAUAUUAAUAAUUGACCUUGGCUGUAUAUUAAAAUACUUACUUUUAUAGUAGAGCACAUUUCUCAAACAUGCCCUGAAAGGCUUUUAUCAAGCUCAUAUAAAGUUAAAGCUUUGAGCUACCUUUUCUUGGCCAAUAAAGUCACUGACAGUUUAUGUAAACAUUAAUUUCAACAUGGCUGUUGCAUUUUAAUUAUCAAAAAUGUUUAAAAUGCUUUAAGAUGACACAUAGAGAACAUACACAUACAUACAAAUUAGUGCAUUUGUAAUUUGUUAAAUUUGAAAUGAACUAUUACCUUGAAAUAUAGUCUUUAAAAAUUUUUAAUGGUUAAAGAAGAUUAAAUUGAAUGAAACUGUAGUCUAAUGGUAACUGAUGAUCUGAAUCCAUCUCUCUGAUAACCUCCUUUCCAUUUUGAAAAUGUGUCUUAUUAUACAUGGAAGCUAGUAACUACGUGAAUGCUGUUGGCAGGAUGAGGGUCUGGGUACCUCAGUCUCUUGUCCUGUUUCCUUCCCCCAAAUCCACCAUUGUGAAGUUGCCAACCCCCUGCCGCCUUCCCCUGCCAAGUACAUGUUGUCAGAGUCAGCCCUAUAAUGUUCAUUUCCCCUCUUGUUUGUGGGAUUAUGGAUCUCUGCAGAAAUCUGCAUGCCAAUUAACCCAUUUCUAAAGCAGAAUCCAUUUUGCAUGUCACAAUCAAGAUGUACUUGGCAAUCUAAGACACACUGGGAGACUGUAAGAGGAAUUAAUAUAGAAAAGCUCUUAAUUAUAACAUUUGGAAGAAAUUUUUCCUUUGUUUUGUAAAGUGGCUAAGGUUGUAGGAGUGUGUGGUAUUUAUUACCUUUUAAAUGAACUGUAAAAUUGCCUUAGAAAUUUGUUUAAAAGGCUAGCAAGUGAGACCCUUGAGGAUGAUCAUAUACUAAUAAAGAUUACCAGAAGAAACUUCUUGUCCUGUUAGGUCAGUGUUAUGAUUUAAUGGUUUUAAUUACUUAACCAAUUUUAAGAAUUGACAAUUUUUAAAAAUAUUUUUUUCUACCAUUCUAAAGUAAUGUCUUUUGUUGUGGGUUUAUGUGUAACUACAGGAUUUUGGAACAUAAACAUUUUGAAGGAUAGUCAAUGGUAUUUAG